rnacentral:sRNA from 1 species
GAAGCGGAUUCGCCGCCGCCGCCGCCGCAAACAGAAGGCGGGCCAAUGAAGGACGGGAGCAUGCGGAAACAUUGCGCCGCGCCAUCAUUGGCAGCGGGACGGACGCAACUGCAGGCGAAUUGGAGGAUGCCGAUCUCGCCGUCGCUAAGCAUCCGGACACAAUCGACCCGGAAUCAUCUUGAUCAGCAGCUUCCUGGACAGCCGCCACCGGCAAUAGAUCACGGAAAUGCGGCAUUCAGGCGCUUGCAGGGUCCGUCGAACGCUCGUUCAGAAGGUGGUCAACAGCAGUUAUCAUCUCCGCCAUCGCGAACGGCUUCUCAAGCAUUAUGUCGUUCGGGACGCCGUUGAUCGCCCACUCGGCCGCGCUGUCCCCGCUGAUGUAAACGACAGCCAUUUCCGUAGCGGGGGGAAAUCUGUCAGAUCCGCUGCGCCAAAGACUCUCAAGGGUGCGGCUGCUCUCUGCCCAUUGCAGUUACCCGAGCCUGCUCGUGCCACGGUGCACGCCCAAAGGGGGGGGUUAUAGUCUUUCGGGCCAGCUGCCUUUCGGCUCGCAACUUGGAAAACGGCCACGCGACUGAGAAUCAGCGCGACUGCAAAGCCUCCAGAAGAAGCUGGUAUGUCGGUGCCAGCCGCCUAAGCAGAUCUGCCGCUUCCGCGUCUUUGCCGGUGACAAGGGGACACUGCAAUGCCCCUAUCAUGGCCGCUUGCUCCGAAGCAAUAUGAGCAGCGUCUGUAUAGCCAAUCCGGGAAAGGCAAGUGGCGGCAUCGGCGAGCCGUCUAGUGCCAACGCGGAUUGCAAAGUGGAUCAGGU